rnacentral:rRNA from 1 species
UACGAAGGGUGCAAGCGUUACUCGGAAUUACUGGGCGUAAAGCGUGCGUAGGUGGUUAAGUCUGUUGUGAAAGCCCCGGGCUCAACCUGGGAAUGGCAAUGGAUACUGGCAAGCUAGAGUGCGGUAGAGGGUAGUGGAAUUCCCGGUGUAGCGGUGAAAUGCGUAGAGAUCGGGAGGAACACCAGUGGCGAAGGCGGCUACCUGGACCAGCACUGACACUGAGGCACGAAAGCGUGGGGAGCAAACAGG